GCUUGCUUUUCCUCAGCUUGGCAACGUUGAAUUUUCCUGGUUUUUAUGGCAUGACGCCAGACUUCUAAUCUUGUUUUUGUAUUUUAUUUCCCUGAAUUUUUUAAGGUGAAUACAACAACUGAUGGCUCAUGGAGCGCUGCACAGAGAACACAGGAUGCACCAGCAGCUCUGGCAUUAUUAUGAGCUAUUGUUUCUGCACAGUUGUUCCUUAGUAUUUUGCAAAGUCCCUUUGAAAUGCACUGUACAAGUUUCUGGUUCAUUUCGAUAGGGCUUUGUGUACUAAAGUGAAUAUGCAGGCAAACCAUUGCCAGGAUUGAUCCCAGAGUUUAUAAAAUGUCCCGUGCAAGCUGGGCAGAUGGGGAUUUGAAGGCAUUUCCAUUCUUUGCCUGACUCUAAUAUUCAUCACAGUAUGUUCUGUAAAAAUUGCUAGUACUGGAUGUCCUGUUUAGAUGUUGUGCAGAGGAAAUAAUUUCCCAGAAGGUUCUAGCUAUCCUUAAGAAUGACAGGGAUGUUGCACAAUAUUGCAAAGUGGCUAAAUUGCCAAAACUGCUUCCACCAAAGUAUUUGUUCCAUAAUGUCUUGUGCCAGCAGCUGUGGUCAUUCGCUGAAGUACCCUGUAGCCAGGCAGUGUCUCAGAGGUGCCUGAAGCCCUAUUCCAUUUCAUGGCCUGUGCUUUCCACUCAUUUUUACCAGAGCUGUCUGAUCCCAAUGGCUUUUUGCUGUCUCCAUCUGAGUUGUCUUCUCAGCCUUCUGAAAUCACCACAUAAAAUCUUCCCCAGCCAGGCACUUUCUCCACAUCAUCUCAACCUAAGUCCCGUAAGUUUGCCCAAUUGCUCUGUUUCCCUUGUGCCCUCCCUCUGCCUUUCCUGAUUUUUUUUCUUUUCAGCAGUGUCUUCCCCAGUGCCACCCCAGCUACACAAGGACCUUUCCCACUCUGGCCUUCUCCCUGGCUCACCACCACUGCCACCAAGCGGAGCUCCUGGGAGGAAAUACUCAGCCUCGGCCAGGGUGACGUAGAAACAGUCUUGUACUAAAUAUUUAAAGAAUGCAAUGAGGACAAAAGCUGAGGGGGGAAUUUACCACCAGAUUUGAUGAAUUCAUUCCGUGGAAAACAUCGGGAGGAAAAUUGAGACAAGGCAAUGUCUGGUCCAUGUGCAAGGCAGGGCAUGGGGCACUAUCAAAACAUGAGCUACACCUCCCACCCCCCUCUCUGGGAGGGAAAUGGGUCCUGUCUGCCCCACUGAAUGGCUGGGAAAAUGGGCAGAAAGGCUGGCAGUCAGCUUUCUGAUUCUGCAGCUCGUUAAAUCAGUGUCUUUUAAGUAACUGUUUUGCAGGCAAGGCACACGUGUCAUGUAUUUUAAGCACAAAUAGUUUCAGUUCUGUCCUGGAUGUAUUGAAACCUUUGUUCGUGUGAUACCAUCUCAUUGGAGCUAUGAAUCUCUCGCUCUAGAAAUCAGGCAAAUGACAUCAUAUAUCCAUAACAGAAAAAC
rnacentral:lncRNA from 1 species